rnacentral:rRNA from 1 species
GAAAGUAAAAUAAUUUAUUUAGUUUCUUGAUUUUUGGGCUCUAAGAUAUGUACACAUCGCCCGUCGCUCUCGUGAUAAAACGAGAUAAGUCGUAACAUAGUANAUGUAUUGGAAAAUGUAUCUAGAAAGAUC